UUUCAGCCAUUGCUGAACAAGAUUAGAGCGUGCCUGGCUUGCUGGAAGGCUCGCCUCCUAACGGCAGCAGGCAGACUUGUGCUCGUAAACACCGUUCUCUCAUCCAUGGCGGUCUAUUGGCUUGUUAUGUUUGAGCUGCCAACAUGGGCUCGCAAGGAAAUUGAUAAGCUGCAUCGGGCAUGGCUUUGGCGUGGCAAUGAGGUUUGUCAUGGCGCUCAUUGCAAGGUGGCCUGGCGCCAGAUCUAUAGGCCUAAGCAACUUGGGGGCCUUGGCAUCGUGGACCUGCGGCAGUUCGGCACUACGUUACGACUAUGCUGGCUCUGGCUUGAGCGGACUGCCCCUGAGCGGCCAAGGGUUGAGCCCCCAAUGCCAUGCUCCAUGGCCGACCGCUUGCUGUUUGCGUUGGCGACACGCUGCCACCUCGGCAAUAGACGAAAGGCGUGUUUCUGGCUUGAUGCAUGGCUAGGGGGCAAGCCCCAUGCCUCGUCGUCCCCGACAUCUUCAAUAUUACGGCAAACAAGCACCGGAGAGUGGCAUCUGCCCUCACUGACAGCCGUUGGGUUGGGGAUUUGCAAGGGCGUAUCAUAG
rnacentral:rRNA from 1 species